GGCGUUUCUCAGGUGAUGCACCCUGGAAUCGGGCUCCCUCCUCUCUGGUUCCGGGUGUGUUACCCGAGAACCGCA
rfam:Myotis lucifugus cont2.62134, whole genome shotgun sequence.